AUGAGUUAAGUAUAAACCCCUUUACAAGUAUCAAUUGGAGGGCAAGUCUGGUGCCAGCAGCCGCGGUAAUUCCAGCUCCAAUAGCGUAUAUUAAAGUUGUUGCAGUUAAAAAGCUCGUAGUUGGAUUUCUGUUAAUAAUUUAUAUAUAAUAUUUUAUGAUAUUUAUAUAAUAUUAACAUAAUUCAUAUUACUAUAUUUAUUAGUAUAUGAAAUUUUACUUUGAGAAAAUUAGAGUGCUUAAAGCAGGCGUUUGCCUUGAAUACUCCAGCAUGGAAUAAUAUAAAAGAUUUUUAUCUUUUUUAUUGGUUCUAAGAUAAAAAUAAUGAUUAAUAGGGACAGUUGGGGGCAUUUGUAUUUAACAGUCAGAGGUGAAAUUCUUAGAUUUGUUAAAGACAAACUAGUGCGAAAGCAUUUGCCAAGGAUGUUUUCAUUAAUCAAGAACGAAAGUUAGGGGAUCGAAGACGAUCAGAUACCGUCGUAGU
rnacentral:rRNA from 2 species